GGGAAGUUGGCUCAGUGGUAGAGAGCGCUUGCCUUGCAUGCAUGAGGACCUGGGUUCGAUUCCUUAGCACCACA
rnacentral:tRNA from 1 species